AGUAAAAUUAGGAAAGACAAAUAUAGAGAGCACGGUAAAAGGGGAAAGUGACUGGGAGUAGCUCUUCUUCCUCUUUCUUGCUAUAAUCAUUGUUGUUCAUGAAUCUGGACAAAUCUUAAGGGACCAACUUCCAUUAACGAAAGAUCGAGAAGCUGAGGUACAUCUAGCUUGGAUAGGUUAAAUCUUGGACGCUCCAAAUUGUCACAAACGCCAUGUAAUCUUGUCCGAUGAAGACGUCUUCAACAUGAUGUAGCUCAAGUCUGAUGCUUUCAUUUGAAGGUGUUGAAAGUGCUCUCUGUUGAUUUCCAAGUGCCUCAUUGGCUUGCUCACAAUAUGCAAGGGCUAACAAUUCUUCUUGUUCAGAUAUCUGGGUCCCAUCAACACAUUCAAUCUGUAAAGGGCUGGGAAAUAUGUCUCCCUGACUGAUUGGCAUAUGCUACAAUAUUCAUGUUUUCAUCUUCCAGCCUAUCUUUAUCCAUUAAUGUAUGCUCUUCUAUGUCCUAGUUUAUAUUGCAACUUGUAAUGAUCGACAACUCCCAUGUAGUAUAUGUUUGUGAAUGACUUUUUUGUUCAUCUCUGCACUGCAUCUCUGUGAUUGUUUGCCUGCUA